CUCCAUUACUAAUCCCUGGAUCUACCGCAUCCCCUAAUCAGCCGCGCGGAAUUCCUCCCAAAAUUUCUCUCACAUGCAUUUCCACCAAGAUCGCCGUCAACGGGACUGCUCCUUCAUCUUUGUUUGCGCUACCCACCAUGUGCAGUUGCAGGUGCGACAUCCUCUUGUUUUGUUCUUCUUGGUUGGUGCUUUCACGGGUUACCAAGAGGCUGAAUCGGCCGUCGUAGUAGCACCAGCCGGCUGGAGAACAAGCAGUGCCCUAUGUCAACCUCAGCCAUGCUUCCUGUUUCUACACAAUGUCAAAGAGGCUAUGUUGGUGACAAGUGAUGGGAAUAGGACCUGCUACAGCUAUACGUCGAUGACUAUUGUGUUGGCCACAAGGAGCUUCUCGCGUGUAUUGUGUUUAUGACUGAUCAACCCAUUUAGUGCGACGUCGGUUGUGCAGAAGCAGAAUUUCGGUGUAAUAUUGUUUAAUUUUUAUUAAAUAUA